UACGUAGGGUGCGAGCGUUGUCCGGAAUUAUUGGGCGUAAAGAGCUCGUAGGCGGUGUGUCACGUCGGCCGUGAAAACCUGGGGCUUAACUCUGGGCGUGCGGUCGAUACGGGCAUCACUAGAGUUCGGCAGGGGAGACUGGAAUUCCUGGUGUAGUGGUGAAAUGCGUAGAUAUCGGGAGGAACACCAGUGGCGAAGGCGGCUUUCUGGUCUGCUCUUGACGCUGAGGCGCGAAAGCUAGGGUAGCAAACGGG
rnacentral:rRNA from 1 species